GAGAGAGAAAGCAUUCCCACCCCGAGAAUCGGCUUGCCUUCCAAACCAGAGCUUUGACGACUCUCAAGGGAGAACCAGCAGCAGAGGCAUGAUGGAAUGAGGAAGCUGCUACUAUGGCCUCUGCAGAUGGCCAUCUCAGACCAAGCCCAAGACUGCCCUUCCUGACCCCUCUGAAGAUGUCCUUUCAAGUGAAGGAGAUAACACAUGUGUGUGUACACAAGUGCACACUCCUGAGGAGUGCCUACACAGAAGCCAGAGCCGAUUUCCGGUGUCCUCCAUCAUACUCUGCCUUAUUUUUGAGAUUGGGUCUCGAUCUUACUGAACCUGGAUCUCACUAAACCUGAAUCUUACUGAACCUGGAUCUCACUGAUCCUGAAUCUCACUGAACCUGGAUCUCACUGAACCUGGAUCUCACUGAACCUGGAUCUCACUGAACCUGGAUCUCACUGACCCUGAAUCUCACUGAUCCUGAAUCUUACUGAUCCUGGAUCUCACUGAACCUGGAUCUUACUGAUCCUUAAUGAUCCUGGAUCUCACUGAACCUGGAUCUCACUGAACCUGGAUCUCACUGAACCUGGAUCUCACUGAUCCUGGAUCUUACUGAUUCUGGAUCUCACUGAACCUGGAUUUUACUGAUCCUUAAUGAUUCUGGAUCUCACUGAACCUGGAUCUCACUGAAUCUGGAUCUUACUGAUCCUGAAUGAUCCUGGAGCUCAUUGAACCUGGAUCUUACUGAUCCUGAAUGAUCCUGAGCUCACUGAACCUGGAUCUCACUGAACCUGGAUCUCACUGAACCUGGAUCUCACUGAUCCUGGAUCUCACUGAACCUGGAUCUUACUGAUCCUGAAUGAUCCUGGAGCUCAUUGAACCUGGAUCUUACUGAUCCUGAAUGAUCCUGAGCUCACUGAACCUGGAUCUCACUGAUCCUGGAUCUCACUGAUCCUGGAUCUUACUGAUCCUGAAUCUUACUGAUCCUGGAUCUCACUGAACCUGGAUCUCACUGAACCUGGAUCUCACUGAACCUGGAUCUCACUGAUCCUGGAUCUCACUGAACCUGGAUCUUACUGAUCCUGAAUUUCACUGAUCCUGGCUCUUACUGAUCCUGGAUCUUACUGAACCUGGAUCUUACUGAUCUUGGAUCUUUACUGAACCUGGAUCUUACUGAUCCUGAAUCUUACUGAUCCUGGAUCUCACUGAACCUGGAUCUCACUGAUCCUGGAUCUCACUGAACCUGGAUCUUACUGAUCCUGAAUCUUACUGCUCCCAGAUCUCACUGAUCCUGGAUCUUACUGAACCUGGAUCUUACUGAACCUGGAUCUCACUGAGCCUGGAUCUUACUGAGCCUGGAUCUUGCUGCUUUAGCCAGACUGAAUGCUGGAUGUGGGCCCAGGAUACUAUUAAUGGAAGCUUUCAGCGCUGGGAUGAUAGGUGUGUGUGAAGCACCUUUCAUGUGCUCGGCAGUGAUGUGGGUACCAGGGGGCUGAAAUCAGAGGAAAUCACACCACGAUCUUCACCCUGUGCCAUCUUCCCUCCUACUAUGGACAGAAGCAAUGCAAGCAGCUUCUACCGAAAAUUACCAAGCACAAACCGCACAUGAAAUAGUUCCCAUGAAGGGCAAAAUGGGACAGAUCCAUCUUGUUACAUUUAAUCAGGAAAGGGGGUUUGGAGAAAUGGUUCAGUGAUCCAGAGCCCUUGCUGCUCCUGCAGAGGACCUGCGUUUGGUUUCUAGCACCUCCAGGAGUACUUCACUACUGUCUGUUUCCAGGAGUACCCACCAGAUCCAGAUCCUGGUCUCUGUGGGUUCCUGUGUCCAAAUGGAACACAUAUACACAUGGAGGCUUGCACACAUAAAAAUAAAUAUAUCUUUUAAAAGGGUCCUCCUUGUGUGUGGUAUGGGGUCGGAGCUGCUACAGGCCGUGGGUGUGCAGUAAUGACUGACUCAGCUUGACCUCGGUGCUGGCUGUGUUUGCGUAGAGAAAAUCUAACAAGCCAUAAUGCACAAUUUGUUCACUUUCCUGUAUGCAUGU